CAGGAUGAACGCUAGCGACAGGCCUAACACAUGCAAGUCGAGGGCGAGCGGGAUUGAAGCUUGCUUAAUUGCCGGCGACCGGCGCACGGGUGCGUAACAGGUGUGCAAUCUGUCCAUAGUCGGGGAAUAGCCCAGCGAAAGUUGGAUUAAUGCUCCAUGUGAAGAGAAGCCGCAUGACUUUUCUUUGAAACGUAAGGACUAUGGGUGAGCACGCUUCUGAUUAGAUAGUUGGUGAGGUAACGGCUCACCAAGUCGACGAUCAGUAGGGGUUCUGAGAGGAAGGUCCCCCACAUUGGAACUGAGACACGGUCCAAACUCCUACGGGAGGCAGCAGUGAGGAAUAUUGGUCAAUGGGCGAGAGCCUGAACCAGCCAAGUCGCCGUGAAGGAUGAAGGUUCUAUGGAUUGUAAACUUCUUUUGUCCGAGGGUAAAAAAGGCCACGUGUGGCUUCUUGCAAGUAUCGGACGAAUAAGCAUCGGCUAACUCCGUGCCAGCCGCCGC
rnacentral:rRNA from 1 species